GUUGAAGUGCUUGGAUUUACACAGCAGGGAACUGAGGCUGAAGAGGAGAAUGCCUGGAACCUGAUCCAUUUAUGACACUCUUCAGUUUUCAGUCCUCUGCAUCUCCAGCUCCAGGAGAGAGAAAUAAAGUGUAUUUACUGAGAUUCUCGAAGCUUAAGGGAAAAAGAUUAAAGAUAAGAGUUGGUAUACAGCUUUCAAUCAUUAAAGCAAAUAAAAGCAGAGC